rnacentral:rRNA from 1 species
GACGAACGCUGGCGGCGUGCUUAACACAUGCGAGUCGAACGGAAAGGCCCUGCUUUUGCGGGGUGCUCGAGUGGCGAACGGGUGAGUAACACGUGAGUAACCUGCCCUUGACUUUGGGAUAACUUCAGGAAACUGGGGCUAAUACCGGAUAGGAGCUCCUGCUGCAUGGUGGGGGUUGGAAAGUUUCGGCGGUUGGGGAUGGACUCGCGGCUUAUCAGCUUGUUGGUGGGGUAGUGGCUUACCAAGGCUUUGACGGGUAGCCGGCCUGAGAGGGUGACCGGCCACAUUGGGACUGAGAUACGGCCCAGACUCCUACGGGAGGCAGCAGUGGGGAAUAUUGCACAAUGGGCGGAAGCCUGAUGCAGCAACGCCGCGUGCGGGAUGACGGCCUUCGGGUUGUAAACCGCUUUCGCCUGUGACGAAGCGUGAGUGACGGUAAUGGGUAAAGAAGCACCGGCUAACUACGUG